AUACUUAUGUGUUGGGGCGAUACCAUGAUUAUCAAAGUGGUUCUCCCAGGAUGAGGCUCAUCCACUGCACUCCUGCGAUUUCCCCAAAUGUGGGAAAUUUGAUCGUAUGAUUUGUCAUAUUCAGGGAUGACAUCAUGCUCUCCCUAU
rnacentral:snRNA from 1 species